UACGAAGGGUGCAAACGUUUGCGUCGGAAUUAUUGGGCGUAAAGGCGCACGUAGGCGGCUUGGCAAGUCGGAUGUGAAAUCCCUCGGCUCAACCAAAGGAAGUGCAUCCGAAACUGCUGAGCUUGAGUACUUAAGGAGGAUCGCGGAAUUCCCGGUGUAGAGGUGAAAUUCGUAGAUAUCGGGAGGAACACCUGUGGCGAAAGCGGACGCACUGGACCGACAACUGACGCUGAGGCGACGAAAGGCGUGGGGAAGCAAAGCAGG
rnacentral:rRNA from 1 species